rnacentral:rRNA from 1 species
AGUGAACGCUGGCGGUAGGCCUAACACAUGCAAGUCGAACGGCAGCACAGUAAGAGCUUGCUCUUACGGGUGGCGAGUGGCGGACGGGUGAGGAAUACAUCGGAAUCUACUAUUUCGUGGGGGAUAACGUAGGGAAACUUACGCUAAUACCGCAUACGACCUACGGGUGAAAGCAGGGGAUCUUCGGACCUUGCGCGAUUGAAUGAGCCGAUGUCGGAUUAGCUAGUUGGCGGGGUAAAGGCCCACCAAGGCGACGAUCCGUAGCUGGUCUGAGAGGAUGAUCGGCCACACUGGAACUGAGACACGGUCCAGACUCCUACGGGAGGCAGCAGUGGGGAAUAUUGGACAAUGGGCGCAAGCCUGAUCCAGCCAUGCCGCGUGGGUGAAGAAGGCCUUCGGGUUGUAAAGCCCUUUUGUUGGGAAAGAAAAGCAGCAGGUUAAUACCCCGCUGUUCUGACGGUACCCAAAGAAUAAGCACCGGCUAACUUCGUG